rfam:Erinaceus europaeus unplaced genomic scaffold scaffold00402, whole genome shotgun sequence
GUGCUUGCUUCAGCAACACAUAUACUAAAAUUGGAAUGCUACAGAGAAGAUUAGCAUGGCCCCUGCACAAAAAAUGAGAUCUCUCAAGAUCAUAAGCUUUUUUUUUUU